UGGGGAAUCAUGGUCAAUGGGCGAAAGCCUGAACCUGCGACGCCGCGUGAGCGAUGAAGGCCUUUGGGUCGUAAAGCUCUGUCCUUGGGGAAGAAAAAAAUGACGGUACCCUUGGAGGAAGCCCCGGCUAACUACGUGCCAGCAGCCGCGGUAAUACGUAGGGGGCAAGCGUUAUCCGGAAUUAUUGGGCGUAAAGAGUGCGUAGGUGGUUUUAUAAGCGCAGGGUGAAAGGCAAUGGCUCAACUAUUGUAAGCCUUGCGAACUGUGAGACUUGAGUGCAGGAGAUGAAAGUGGAAUUCCUAGUGUAGCGGUGAAAUGCGUAGAUAUUAGGAGGAACACCAGUGGCGAAGGCGACUUUCUUGACUGUUACUGACACUGAGGCACGAAAGCGUGGUGAGCAAACA
rnacentral:rRNA from 1 species